AGAGUUUGAUCAUGGCUCAGAUUGAACGCUGGCGGAAUGCUUUACACAUGCAAGUCGAGCGGCAGCGCGGGGCAACCUGGCGGCGAGCGGCGAACGGGUGAGUAAUGCAUCGGAACGUGUCCAUGUCGUGGGGGAUAGCCCGGCGAAAGCCGGAUUAAUACCGCAUACGCCCGAGAGGGGAAAGUGGGGGACCGCAAGCCUCACGCGAUUGGAUCGGCCGAUGUCCGACUAGCUAGUUGGCGGGGUAAAGGCCCACCAAGGCGAUGAUCGGUAGCUGGUCUGAGAGGAUGAUCAGCCACACUGGGACUGAGACACGGCCCAGACUCCUACGGGAGGCAGCAGUGGGGAAUUUUGGACAAUGGGGGCAACCCUGAUCCAGCCAUUCCACGUGAGUGAAGAGGGCCUUCGGGUUGUAAAGCUCUUUUGUCCGGAACGAAACGGGCGACGUGAAUAUCGUCGUCUACUGACGGUACCGGAAGAAUAAGCACCGGCUAACUACGUGCCAGCAGCCGCGGUAAUACGUAGGGUGCGAGCGUUAAUCGGAAUUACUGGGCGUAAAGCGUGCGCAGGCGGUUUUGUAAGCCGGAUGUGAAAUCCCCGGGCUUAACCUGGGAAUGGCAUUCGGGACUGCAAGGCUGGAGUGCGGCAGAGGAGACUGGAAUUCCUGGUGUAGCAGUGAAAUGCGUAGAUAUCAGGAGGAACACCGAUGGCGAAGGCAGGUCUCUGGGCUGACACUGACGCUCAUGCACGAAAGCGUGGGGAGCAAACAGGAUUAGAUACCCUAGUAGUCC
rnacentral:rRNA from 1 species